UACAGAGGGUGCAAGCGUUGUUCGGAAUCAUUGGGCGUAAAGGGCGUGUAGGCGGUUUGUUAAGUCAUGUGUGAAAUCCCUCGGCUCAACCGGGGAACGACGCAUGAAACUGGCAAGCUAGAGUACCAAAGAGGGGGGUGGAAUUCCCGGUGUAGCGGUGAAACGCGUAGAUAUCGGGAGGAACACCUGUGGCGAAGGCGGCCCCCUGGUUGGAUACUGACGCUGAGACGCGAAAGCGUGGGGAGCAAACAGG
rnacentral:rRNA from 1 species